UGACACUUUAUUUGACAGCUGGGCGAUUUGAAUUCGGAGUAAAUCCACUGAAAAUACAUGCAAUAUUGGUGGGUAAAGUAAAAAUGCCACCUUUUCCGAUACCACAAGCUACACAGGUAGUUAGUCAAAAGCAAUACCGGAUACCUGGAGGACAGGAAGAAAUUUCGGCGACCAUUAAAGAAUAUUUAGAAGCUGGUGUAUUGAAAAUAGUGACGACAAACUGGAACAAUCCGUUGUGGCCAGUCAGGAAAUCAGAUAAUUCUUGGAGGAUGACAGUAGACUACAGAGGAUUGAAUAAACACACACGUGCAUUGACUUCCACGGUGCCCGACGCAGUGACAAUUAUAGAACGAGUGCAACAUCAUCCCGGAACGUGGUAUGGGGUCAUAGAAUUGGCUAACGCAUUUUUCACUAUUCUUAUUCCUGAGGAUAGGAUGAAUCAAUUUGCGUUUACCUGGGAAGGGCGCCAAUACACGUUUACCAGACUACCACAGGGUUAUUUACAUAGUCCCACAAUCUGCCACCGGGUGGUAGCAGACACCUGGAAAAGCUAAAAGUUCCUAAGGAAAUAAUGAUAUCACAUUAUAUCGAUGACAUACUAGUGCAAGGAACGAGCGAGGUAGAGGUGAAGGAAGUUCUAGGACAGCUAAUACAGCACAUGAAAGGGUUCGGAUGGGAAAUUAACCCUGCAAAGGUCCAAGGACCUUCGCAAACGGUGAAAUUUCUAGGAAUCAUCUGGAACAAAGGGGAAAGGGAAGUGGCAGAAAAAGCUAAGGCUAAGUUCCACACACCAAGGCAGAUGCUAGGAAAUACAUCGGGUUGUUUGGAUUUUGGAGGAAUCAUAUUCCUCAUUUGGGACAGAUACUUCAACCUCUCUACAAAUGCACUAGGAAAAAGGAGGACUGUAGUUGGGGGGAAGAACAACAGCGAUCAUUUGAUAUGGCGAAGGAAGCGAUACAGCAAGCAGUGUCACUGGGAAAAAUGAAAACAGGACCGGUAGAAUUGCAGGUGUCGGCGUUAAAUGAAUACGCUAACUGGAGUUUGUGGCAAAAGCAAGAUAGGAUUCGUAAACCCUUGGGAUUCUGGAUGAGAAAGCUCCCAGAAGCAGGCCUAAGGUACACACCUUUUGAAAAGCAGUUAUUAGCAUGCUAUUGGGCAUUGGUUGAAACUGAGGCUCAAACGGUGGGCGAUGAGGUGUUAAUGAGAAGACAUAUACCGAUUUUGACAUGGGUUAAAGGUAACCCGACGACACAUUGAAUAGGAACCGCACAGGAAGCUAGUAUUAUCAAAUGGAAAUGGUAUGUGUCUGAGCAAAUUAAAAUAGGGGAAAAAGGAGUCUAAUGAGUGGGCAAAGACUCACCGUGUAGAAUGGAUCUUUCACAUUCCCUAUUAUCCGCAGGCUGCUGGGUUAAUAGAGCGAAUGAAUGGAAUUCUUAAGGAAACAUUGAAAAAGCUAUCUCGAAACAGAACGCCGGACAAAUGGUGCAAAGACUUACCCGAGGCGGUGAAUCAGAUUAAUAGUAGACCGCUUGGGGCGGGAAUAACGCCCCUAAUACGAAUGAUAAUGGGGGAACCGGUACAAAAUUCCAAUGGGGAAAUUAAAAUGUGGAAAAUUGAUCCUCAAGCUGAAAUUCCCAUACGAGCUACUCCAGGCUCAGCGGGAUUGGAUUUGAAAAUCCUGACAAACAUGACUCUGGUUCCCAACGAAAUCCAAAUAGUGAAAACAGGAUUGGGGCUCCAGUGUCCACCAGGGACAUAUGGACACAUUCUACCACGAAGUGGGUUAUCACUAAAAGGGUUAACAAUUCAAGCCGGAGUAAUUGAUGCGGACUGUCAAGGAGAAAUUGGAGUGGUAUGCAAAUUAUUAGCAGAACAGCCCCUUACAUUGGAAAAACGGGACAAAAUUGCUCAAUUGGUAGUGAAGCCUUGCCUUGUAACCAAGGUAAAAGAAAUACCUAAACCUGUGGUGAUAACCACCAGAGGGGAGGGAGGAUUUGGCUCCACUGAUUUGGCAGGGGCAAAAGUUUGGGUAAAACAGCCAGACGGUCCUCCCCGAGCAGCAGAAAUUAUAGCUCAAGGGCAAGAUGCUACUGUGAGCGUCUUAUAUCCUGGAGAGGAAAAAUGGGUAAAUGUACCGGUGUCAAAAUGUUAUACAAGAGAGAACUAAUCAUAUGUUUGUAGUAUGCACUAUUUGUCGUAAUACAGAUGCCAUGGUGGUAUUUGCUGAUUGGAAGACCAUCAUCGGAGAGGCGCCAUGGCCGGACCAGGGAAGACCGAGGGCCCAAGAGGUGGCAGUGUCGUCUGGUGGGUCACGUGUAUCCUUGUCCUUGGGGCCAUGGUCCAACUCUGCUGCGCAAUGACGGAGGGUGACAAAUUGGAGCAGAUCCAGCGGUUCCACAUAAGAUGGAAAAACAGUACCCAGGACCGUACUCAAGGAGACUACACCUGUCCAGCUUACCAAGCUUGCGACGUGGUAAACGUCACCAGCAAUUGUCGGAUGUGGAAGUGCAGAAGGUGCCUUGCAGGAAAGGAUAUCCCGGUGGUGGAACAAGGAUGCAACUUAACCGUCACUUCAGUAGUCCCCAAGUGCCACUACAACAGGACGACCAGGACCUUCAAUGAGCACAACAGGACGAGAUGAUGGCUGGUUGACAAGCGGAGCUCUGCCUGGGUGUUUGGCUCUCCACCUUCUCGGCAUAGGAAGAACUGCACCAAGUUGCUCAUUUGUGGAAUACCCACAUUAUCUGUAACAGCAGAAUUGCCGUAGGUCCAAUGUUGUUGUACACCAUCCCUCAUCUCUUUGGAGGGCAAUAUUCACUGGUCACUCAUGAGGCACUGCAGGCUUGUAAACAAGAAUGCCAACAGAGAGGACCAUAUUCUUGUGAUGAGACUGUUUUCAACUUGUGCUGGCUUAUGACAGAAAAUUUCUUACACUCACUCACAACAGCAGAUGAGGCCAUUGAGCUGUAUCUUUUCCUGAGAGCAGACAUACUUAAAAACAUAUAAAUGAAUAGGUUAAUCACUACAAUUGUCAAACAAAUCAUCCUUCCUUCUGGCUCACACAUUUUAAAUUUAUGGAUGUCUGACAAAUCAUUCAUCCAUCCAUUUUCUGCACGGGUUACCCACACAAGGGUCCGAGGCCUAGUGCAGCCUAUCCCAGCUGACUGAGCAAGGGGUGGGUUACACACUGAAAUGGUCGCCAGCCAUUACCAACGCACAGAUGGAAAAAUCAUUUUUUCUGAAAUUAUAAUAGCUCUGGAUUGAAAGGCUGUUAUCACAGCACAGAGGGCUUUAUCUGUUAUAAGAGGAAUUGAUCUGAAUGGAGCAACAGGUGUAUUAAAAUUUAUGACAUGUAAAUGAAGGAUGACCAGAAAUCCAACAUGUCAAGGUAUUUCAAAAUGUGGUGCUGUGUUGGUGAGAUCAUGUUUACAUGACUUGUACUUUUUGAGAAUGGGCACCCAAUCCUCAUUUUUUUUAAUUGAUACUACAGGCUGUAAUUGGGUGGCAACCAGUUCAGGGUGUGCUCUGCUCGACCUCUCACCUGAAAUGAUCUUGGGCAUCAACACAGCUGUGACCCUAGUGAGGAUAAGAUGUAAAGAGAAUUUAUGGAUGAUACGACAUGCAUUUUUUUUUUAACUCUGAUGUCUCCAAUAUGGAUUGAUUGGACAGUUGUUUUCUUUUACCAGAGAAGGUUGUAGCCUCUGACUGAAAUCUUUAGUUGAACUGUUGACAAAUGACUAGAGAUUGGAAAAUUACAACUGUUUUUAUAUGGACUUGUUUUUCAAUAUUUCUUAUUUUUAAAGAAAUUAAAGGUCUU